rnacentral:rRNA from 1 species
AUUGCACGCUGGCGGCAGGCCUAACACAUGCAAGUCGAACGAGUGGCGGACGGGUGAGUCAUGUCUGGGACACUGCCCGAUGGAGGGGGAUAACUACUGGAAACGGUAUCUAAUACCGCAUACCAUCGGAUGUGCCCAGAUGGGAUUAGCUUGUAGUGGGGGUAAUGGCUCACCUAGGCGACGAUCCCUAGCUGGUCUGAGAGGAUGACCAGCCACACUGGAACUGAGACACGGGCCAGACUCCUACGGGAGGCAGCAGUGGGGAAUAUUGCACAAGGGGCGCAAGCCUGAUGCAGCCAUGCCGCGUGUGUGAAGAAGGCCUUCGGGUUGUAAAGCACUUUCAGCGAGGAGGCGUUACUCGCAGAAGAAGCACCGGCUAACUCCGUGCCAGCAGCCGCGGUAAUUC